GAUGAACGCUAGCUACAGGCUUAACACAUGCAAGUCGAGGGGCAGCAUGGUCUUAGCUUGCUAAGGCCGAUGGCGGCCGGCGCACGGGUGAGUAACACGUAUCCAACCUGCCGUCUACUCUUGGACAGCCUUCUGAAAGGAAGAUUAAUACAAGAUGGCAUCAUGAGUCCGCAUGUUCACAUGAUUAAAGGUAUUCCGGUAGACGAUGGGGAUGCGUUCCAUUAGAUAGUAGGCGGGGUAACGGCCCACCUAGUCUUCGAUGGAUAGGGGUUAUGAGAGGAAGGUCCCCCACAUUGGAACUGAGACACGGUCCAAACUGCUACGGGAGGCAGCAGUGAGGAAUAUUGGUCAAUGGGCGAGAGCCUGAACCAGCCAAGUAGCGUGAAGGAUGACUGCCCUAUGGGUUGUAAACUUCUUUUAUAAAGGAAUAAAGUCGGGUAUGCAUACCCGUUUGCAUGUACUUUAUGAAUAAGGAUCGGCUAACUCCGUGCCAGCCGCCGCCGUAAAAC
rnacentral:rRNA from 1 species